rnacentral:rRNA from 1 species
AUACGUAGGUGGCAAGCGUUGUCCGGAUUUAUUGGGCGUAAAGCGAGCGCAGGCGGUUUCUCAAGUCUGAUGUGAAAGCCCCCGGCUCAACCGGGGAGGGUCAUUGGAACCUGGGAGACUUGAGUGCAGAAGAGGAGAGUGGAAUUCCAUGUGUAGCGGUGAAAUGCGUAGAUAUAUGGAGGAACACCAGUGGCGAAGGCGACUCUCUGGUCUGUAACUGACGCUGAGGCUCGAAAGCGUGGGGAGCAAACAGGAUUAGAUACCCUGGUAGUCCACGCCGUAAACGAUGAGUGCUAAGUGUUGGAGGGUUUCCGCCCUUCAGUGCUGCAGCUAACGCAUUAAGCACUCCGCCUGGGGAGUACGACCGCAAGGUUGAAACUCAAAUGAAUUGGCGGGG